rnacentral:lncRNA from 1 species
AAGAGCUGUCUGAAGAUGUCACCACGACUCUUAUCAUCGAUGCGAUCAUUAACAGAAGCAGCACGUCUACGAUGCCAUUGCAUCCUCUCCACAUCGUGUGUAGUUUGAGCUUCAAUCAAAGUUUGAGAGGAGAACUGUACAGCGUGGUCGAUGACGUAAUGGCCGGAGGAAGAACUUGCUUGUGAACAAAAAAAAAAGAAAAAAGAAAAGACUGGCUGUUCUAUGCAGGACCUACUUACCACUGCUCAAGAGAGUCCAUAGUGGCGGGAAUUCUCUUGUGACUCAUCGAUUCCUUUGCUCCUCCCAGGAAUGAUAACAGUCAAGACGAAUGAAUGAAAGUACAAGAACUAUUCCUACGAAGAUAUGCGAAGAGUGAAGAAAACCAGAGGAGAAACAUUGUGUUGGCAUUAAAGUCAGAAAUACUAACAAAAGAAAGUGCAGAGGGCGAAGGGGUUCACCACAUCUGUCCCUUAGAGGUAGCUUUUUUAUUUUAUAGGAAUUUUUAAAACAUAGUCGGCAGUGACUACGACUGGAAUGGAUUUUUUCGGUAAAGCAUCUUCUGUGAUAAGUGUUUGACAGUGACAUCGAGAGUACAAAAAUGCUUUGCUUCAGCAUGUCUCAAUAUUUUUAAUUGUCCUCUGUUGUUUUAUUUUCUAUGAACAACUCAGAGAGUACCUCAACACCAGACACGGUAUAUUCAGUAACAAAUGUAUCGAGUACUGAAAACGUCGUCAACAAUGUCUUAAGUAAAGAGGUACAGCUGAUAGUAGAAGGAGGAUUUUUAGCUAUUGUAUCAGCAAUCGUGUGUGUCAUUGGAAUCCCGAGGAAACGUCAUCAACUGCCUGGUGUUCUGGCGUCAGGGACUACAAGACCGAAUGAACUUGUGUCUCUUCUCUCUCUCACUCACUGAUGCGUGUUACUUGUUGUGUUACUUUACACUCGAGUCUGUAACAUCAUUUUUAACUCUGUAUGACACAGUUGUUGGCGAGGAAUAUUUUGCGAAAAGUUUGGCCUCUUUGAUCGGAUUUUUGUUUGCUGUUCGCGAGACCUCUAGCCUUAUUAUAGCCGUGAUAGCGGUGGAGAGAUGCCUGUGUGUUGCAUUUCCACUCAACGCCGUUACUUUUAUACAAACAAAAACCUUGGGAGUUUUACUUGGUACGUGUUUUCUCCUGUCCAUUUGUAUUGGCAUCGUAUACAACUUUAUAUACGAGGCUGUAACUUUUAAGACGAUAGAAAGAACACGUGUUCUGUUUGUUACCACAAACUUUUACGAAGACAAUCGUUUAAUUAAUUUACAAUUUUUGUUAAUUCGGUGUUUCGUAUCGGUAGCCUUGUAAUAGUGUGUGUCAGUACCGCUAUAACUGUCCACAAGCUGAGAGCAGCGAGCUCAUGGCGACAACAGACGACCGUGACCUCAGGUAACAUCAGUCGUCAACAGGCGGCUCUCACCUCCAUGUUAGUCAUCGUCUCCAUCAUCUACAUCGCAGCCUUUGUUCCACGUGAAUCCUUAAAUGUCGUUCAGCUUGUUAGGUCAUUUGUAUUACACCCUUCAAGAUACGAUAGGAUGAGAUUACUGGUAACAGCAGUGAGUUCACUGGCACCUAUUAACAGCUGUGUUCAUAUCUUUAUUUAUUAUUUUCGAUCUCAACGCUUCCGUGAGUCCUUUAAGAUAAUGUUUCACAGAAAUUAAAAUCUGCAUUUUGUAUUCUCUUUGAUUAUUAGGUGUUGUAAAACACAUUUCGCUGUACUGCAGCUUUUUUACUGACUUUUUUUUACAUCUGUAAAGGACAUAAAAAGUGUAAUCUCUUUUUUUCAUUUUAAGUACAAUUCUAGUGCAGUGUGUGACAUUUAUUUUACAGAAGGACAUUUGCUAUAUUAAUGUAAUAUUAUUGUUCCCGCAAAAAAGUUAUAAUAAUUAUACUGAGAUGCACACAGUUUUGGUUAAAAACUAGAUAUUUGAAACAUUUCUAUACUAUUGUAGCGAAAAGUCUUUGUUAUUUCCGAGUUUACAAUGUUGCUGGUUGGAAGUAAAAUUGUAUAAAAAAAUCUGUGUGUAUUUCAGUUGAAGGCAGUAGGGAGUAAAGUUUAUAUAAUUUGAAUAUUAAAACUCAAUGUAGUAGCAACUGUCAAUUUUAUCUGGAUUGCCUUUCUCUCACGGUUAAUUAAACUGUGACUAAUAAACAAAUAAACCAAAUCUCAGCACACAGUUCUAAAAUAUGUGUGUACACUACAUUUAGCAUGCUAAUUGUUUUAAAGAUGUUUAAUUAAAGCUGGAAAUGCAACUGUGAAAAUAUA